rnacentral:rRNA from 1 species
UAGCUAGUUGGUAAGGUAACGGCUUACCAAGGCGAUGAUGCAUAGCCGAGUUGAGAGACUGAUCGGCCACAAUGGAACUGAGACACGGUCCAUACUCCUACGGGAGGCAGCAGUAGGGAAUCUUCCACAAUGGGCGCAAGCCUGAUGGAGCAACACCGCGUGAGUGAAGAAGGGUUUCGGCUCGUAAAGCUCUGUUGUUGGAGAAGAACGUGCGUGAGAGUAACUGUUCACGCAGUGACGGUAUCCAACCAGAAAGUCACGGCUAACUACGUGCCAGCAGCCGCGGUAAUACGUAGGUGGCAAGCGUUAUCCGGAUUUAUUGGGCGUAAAGCGAGCGCAGGCGGUUGCUUAGGUCUGAUGUGAAAGCCUUCGGCUUAACCGAAGAAGUGCAUCGGAAACCGGGCGACUUGAGUGCAGAAGAGGACAGUGGAACUCCAUGUGUAGCGGUGGAAUGCGUAGAUAUAUGGAAGAACACCAGUGGCGAAGGCGGCUGUCUGGUCUGCAACUGACGCUGAGGCUCGAAAGCAUGGGUAGCGAACAGGAUUAGAUACCCUGGUAGUCCAUGCCGUAAACGAUGAGUGCUAGGUGUUGGAGGGUUUCCGCCCUUCAGUGCCGGAGCUAACGCA